AAACCACCCCUUAAGUUUUGCAACUAUAGCAGUUUUUGCCCCCAAGGCCAAUUUUUGGUAAAAAAAAAAUAAAAAAAUAACACGUGGCACCUCACUUAGGGUGCCACGUCAGCGUAGACCGAGUCAAAAUUGAUCUUAGGGGGCCAAAACUGCCAUGCAAAACUUAGGGGACGGUUU
rnacentral:pre_miRNA from 1 species